rnacentral:rRNA from 1 species
AUUGAACGCUGGCGGCAUGCCUUACACAUGCAAGUCGAACGGUAACAGGUCUUCGGAUGCUGACGAGUGGCGAACGGGUGAGUAAUACAUCGGAACGUGCCCGAUCGUGGGGGAUAACGAAGCGAAAGCUUUGCUAAUACCGCAUACGAUCUACGGAUGAAAGCAGGGGACCGCAAGGCCUUGCGCGAACGGAGCGGCCGAAGGCAGAUUAGGUAGUUGGUGGGAUAAAAGCUUACCAAGCCGACGAUCUGUAGUUGGUCUGAGAGGACGACCAGCCACACUGGGACUGAGACACGGCCCAGACUCCUACGGGAGGCAGCAGUGGAGAAUUUUGGACAAUGGGCGAAAGCCUGAUCCAGCCAUGCCGCGUGCAGGAUGAAGGCCUUCGGGUUGUAAACUGCUUUUGUACGGAACGAAAAGGCUCUGGUUAAUACCCGGGGCUCAUGACGGUACCGUAAGAAUAAGCACCGGCUAACUACGUGCCAGCCGCCGCAGUAAGAC